AUGACCCUGAUAGAACAUACCUGAAAAGCUGAUGGAUAUUCUAUUGAGUCCCUCCCCUGAGACCUGCCCUAAGAUUUCCACCUGCAAGAUUGAAGUACCGGA